rnacentral:lncRNA from 1 species
CCAGCACAGGGCGCUGAUGUCACAGGUUGGCAUCUCCUUUGUGACAGAUGCACCGGGGGCAGAAUGAUGAAGGAUGUCUGCACUUCUCUCUUUGGCUGGUUUUCUUAGCAAGUCCACAAAAGUAUAGCAAGCAUCUCUCCGUGUCAGGCACAGUUCUUGGUGCUGAGGAUGGGACAGUGAACAAGAGAAAGCCUUGGAUGUUAAGGAGCCUACGUUAUAGCGGGGGGUGAUGGCGCUGUGCUCUGAGCUCGGUGUGGGUGAUGAUGACCAGUCUUCCUCCUCAGGCUUCUAGAGUGUGGGUGCCAGUCCUGCCAUGGCCUGCUUCGCCUCCAGUUUGUGCACCUCCUGAUCGGGAGAAGUCAUGGUGUCUUCCUGGCUUCUGCUUUGCCUCUAGUCGCACUGCUCUUCCUCCCACAGAAGUGGGCUCUGGGCUGGCCUUGGCUUCCUUCAGGCCAGUCCUGCGUGCUCUCCACCCAGCCGUGGAUGAGGAUGGCAUCCUGCCCACGCCCAGGUAGCGUUUCCCGGUUUGGUUUCCUGCUGUCAUUUCCGUUUGCUUGUGUUUGUCCCCGCGCCACUCCCUCACCAGGCCUCCUCCGGAGUUUAUGUCACCUCGACCUCUUCCCAAAGGACGCAAAGGCCAGUAAUGAGUCUGAAUGCGAGCUGUAACGUUUGGUGGUUGUUCUGAAAAUCUUGAUGGUUUAAUCUAUUUCCAGUGCUUUCUGGUGCCUCAAACCAGCAUGUACCCUGAGAGUCUCUGUCCUUUUAUAUGCAGCAGCUUUUAGCUCCAUUGUAAAAGAAAAAAUUCUCCAUCAUUAAAUGUAGCGCAAACAUUUUGGAAAUGUAACGAAUGCUUCAAACGUACAGUGUUUAACGUUUUUCUUGAAAAGUCUUUUGAGCUCUCAGGCUGGGCAAAGGUUGACUCCCCUGAAGGGAGCUGGGCCAAGGAAAAUAGACAUGACCUCUGUUCUGUCCCAGGAAAUGAGAGCUCAGAGUAGCUUCUUCCCCAGGGGUGAUCAGGUUUGUGGAUGGCCCUGGGAAUCUCAAAGGCUCUCUCUGGGGUGGUGGUGAGGGAAGGAGGGGAGAGACUGUGGCUGCACGGGACACCUGGGUUUGGAUCUCUGUCUGGCUGCUUCACAGCUGUCGUGUUUGAGGUUAGUCCCACUGGACUCAGUUUUCUCAUCUAGGGACGUUGAAAAAAAUACCCAUUUCAUGGGAUUAUUUAGAGGAGGACUCUGUGGGUUUUGAGUGGGACAAGCAGGGGGCUUCAGAACCAGUGCCCCGAGCUGCUAUUCUGCUGGGAGUGCUGCCUCACCCUGUUCCCAGGUGGGCUUCCUGUGGCAGCAGCUUGAUCUGUAGAUACCCCAAAAGGUUUAUCCACCGUUGAAGGAAAACCAAAUUGGAAUCGAUUCAAACGAUCAGUGCUAUGUAGGGAGUUGGGUAAACCGAUCAGAGUUUAGGGACUCAGAAGUCUGGCUCUGUCACUCUCUAGUUGUG